rnacentral:rRNA from 1 species
GAGAGUUAAACAGUACGUGAAAUUGUUGAAAGGGAAACGAUUGAAGUCAGUCAUACCAACGGGAAAUCAACCUCUUGAGUUUGGUCUCGUGGGUUUCGAAGAGUUUAAAAGCCUUCGGAUUUUCGAGAUUGGGCUCUUCUGGUGUACUUUCUCGUACGGUUAGUCAACAUCGGUUUUGAAUGUCAUAAAAUGACUGGAGGAAUGUGGCUUCGAUCUCGUAUUGAAGUGUUAUAGCCUUUGGUAGAUGUGAUGUUCGAGACCGAGGAUUGCAACGGAUACCCUUCUGGGCUAUUCGUCUGAUCUCUGAAACGUUGCCUUGAUGUCGAAAGCUUGCUUAUGAUGUUAGGGUAUUACGGUCAAAAGGUUUAGAACGGAUUAAAUUCGUUAAGGAUGUUGACGUAAUGACUUUAAACGA